CUUAAGUUUUAGCUUUUGCAGUCUCCGAAAUUAAGCGUUCAUUCAGCCACGACUUCAUCGACUAUAUCAAAUAUAUAUAUGACCAAGUUUAAAGCAUAUAUGCUUGUGUGUGCUGUAUGCAUUGAUUGUAACAACACCCGAUCGCAAUGCCGGAAGAGAGCUUUUAUAAAGAGAGUGGCCAAAGAGAGAGUGGAGAGCCAUUACAUCUGUUUAUUAAUCAUUGGUUUCAGGCAAAUAACUCCUUUGCUCGAUACGUCGUCGACGUCGACGCUGUAUGCUUUUGAUCCCGUUACAUACUUGAGCUCCUUUCAGAGCACAAGCAUUGCAGAUAGAAAGAGCGGGAGAGGUCCAGUGCUGAUUCCGUUAUGUUAAUAUGCAGCCGCAAGCGAGUGCGGAGCGUGCUUUGCGCUUGUCUACAGACGAGGGAAGAGUUAGGCAACAGAGCGUAGGCUGCGCUAAAUAUGGCAAUUUAGUUUGUGCGCCUCUGCCUUUUUGAUCGAACAUGAAGUCCGCGCGUGUGAAUAAAAUCUCAUUUAAUAAAGCAUUAUUUAUUUUAAGUGA